rnacentral:rRNA from 1 species
AGACGUCUACAUUAGAUACCCCUGUAGUCCCAGCCGUAAACAAUGUGCGUUAGGUGUGUCGGUAACCACGCGUUACUGAUGCGCCGAAGAGAAAUCGUGAAACGCACCACCUGGGAAGUACGGUCGCGAGGCUGAAACUUAAAGGAAUUGGCGGGGGAGCACCACAACAGGUGGAGCCUGCGGUUUAAUUGGAUUCAACGCCGGACAUCUCACCGGAUAAGACAGCUGAAUGAUUGUCAAUCUGAAGGUUUUACAUGACUAGCUG